GAACGCUGGCGGCGUGCCUAACACAUGCAAGUCUAAGGAGAACGUAUUCUUCGGAAUACUAUUAAACUGGCGGACGGGUGAGUAACGCGUAGGCGACCUGCCCUAUAGAUUGGAAUAACCUCGUGAAAACGGGGCUAAUACCGAAUAAUAUUGAAAAAUCAAAGGAGGCUUCGGCUUUCGCUAUAGGAUGGGCCUGCGUCUGAUUAGCUAGAUGGUAAGGUAAAUGCUUACCAUGGCAAUGAUCAGUAGUUGGUCUGAGAGGAUGAUCAGCCACACU
rnacentral:rRNA from 1 species